UACGAAGGGGGCUAGCGUUGCUCGGAAUCACUGGGCGUAAAGCGCACGUAGGCGGACUCUUAAGUCAGGGGUGAAAUCCUGGAGCUCAACUCCAGAACUGCCUUUGAUACUGGGAGUCUUGAGUUCGGGAGAGGUGAGUGGAACUGCGAGUGUAGAGGUGAAAUUCGUAGAUAUUCGCAAGAACACCAGUGGCGAGGGCGGCUCACUGGCCCGAUACUGACGCUGAGGUGCGAAAGCGUGGGGAGCAAACAGG
rnacentral:rRNA from 1 species